rnacentral:rRNA from 1 species
AUUGAACGCUGGCGGCAUGCUUUACACAUGCAAGUCGAGCGGCAGCGCGGGGGCAACCCUGGCGGCGAGCGGCGAACGGGUGAGUAAUGCAUCGGAACGUGUCCCGUAGUGGGGGAUAACCCGGCGAAAGCCGGGCUAAUACCGCAUAUGCUCUACGGAGGAAAGGGGGGGAUCCGCAAGGACCUCUCGCUAUGGGAGCGGCCGAUGUCCGAUUAGCUUGUUGGUGGGGUAAUGGCUUACCAAGGCGACGAUCGGUAGCUGGUCUGAGAGGAUGAUCAGCCACACUGGGACUGAGACACGGCCCAGACUCCUACGGGAGGCAGCAGUGGGGAAUUUUGGACAAUGGGGGCAACCCUGAUCCAGCCAUGCCGCGUGCGGGAAGAAGGCCUUCGGGUUGUAAACCGCUUUUAGUCGGGAAGAAAAGGCGAUCUCUAAUACGGGUCGUUCUUGACGGUACCGGCGGAAUAAGCACCGGCUAACUACGUG